rnacentral:lncRNA from 1 species
GCCUGCUUCGGGAGCAAUUCCCAGGCAGAGGCAUAGCAUGCGAACCUCUGACCCCCGGGCACCGGGCCCACAUAGAGCGCAGAACGAGGGAAAGGACAAAGCCAGGAGCCCUGGAGCUGUCCAGGUUGUUCCGAGGCAGGUGGCCCAGAUAUGUCCCUGAGGGCUGAGAAAUGGGGAUCGUAGAGGAGAGGAAAGACGCAUUUGAGCUGGAAGGAACAGCAUGAAGAAAGUCACAAGCCAGAGCACAGCACAGGGACAGAGCGGGAAGACACGAGGUGGACAUCGGGAGCACUGGGCAGGGCAGAUGAGGCAGCUUUCAGCAAGAUUUGGCUGGUGGACAUGAGGAGCCAGUGUGAAGCCCUAGAAACCAUUUGGGGGAAGCAGCUGUGGGCAGGUUUGCAGCCUCUGUCUCCUCAGGGCCCACCCCCACCACCUGUUCCUGUGAUCUUAACUGUUCCACAAAGCUGGUCACCCAGAGAGGAGCUGGAGGCUUCCCGCCUGGGACAGGCUCUCCCAGCUUCCCUCACCUCGGCCCACCUUCCCCAGGGCUGCCCUGUGUCCAGGGUCUGUCCCCAAGGGCCCUGUACCCUGGUGGGGCUUUGAGUCCCAUGAGUGCAGGGUCCGGGCCGUCCUGGUACAGUUUGCCCUAGAAAGGACAAGGUUUCCUGGAAACAGGACCACCCACAAUCACUUCCCCCUCGCUCCGUCCCUCUCUACAGCCCUCAGAGUAACACUCCAGUAAGCAGAGGCAAGGCUGGGGAGACGGGAAGUGACCAAAGAAGAGCGUUUUCCUGGAUGGAGUGGCCUUGAGUCAGGAUGGACCAGAAGUCCUCUGGAGAUGACAGUCCAGACACCCCGGGGCAUGGCUAGACAGGAGCACCCCACAGACACCCUUGCAGGCCUUGCAGGUCCCAAGGAGCCCAGUAAUCAUGGGUCUGGGUCUGAUGACAAAGAAGAUGGGUAGGGCCUGAGGGCUGUCUAAGCCUGGAUUUGGGAACUGGGCCUGUCCAGAUCUGAGAGAUUCUGGGGACAGGAGGUGGAAGGGGAAGUAAUAUUUCCUAACCCCACCCCACCCUACUCCUACUCUGGUUAGGGGGGCCACUGCAGCUCCUGCUAUGCCUCCCCCAUGCAUGGGAGCAGGAGGCCCAGGCUUGUGCAGCCCAGGAGAAUGGGCUAAAUUCAAAGGGCUUGGAAGGUGGCAUGGGGUGAGGGGCAGAGGCACUGCCUCGAUGAGCCUGUGGGCAGAGGGGAGGUGGAGGGCCUGUACUCAGGAAGUAGAUGGGCCAGAGGCAUAAACAGGUUUGGAGUUAGGACUGAGUUCCAGGAAAUCAGCUAAGUUUGGGCUGGAGGGAGGCCAGGCAGGGAGUUCUGGGAGAGGGAAGGACAAGAAACACAGCUGUGCUGGGGCCACUCCACUGUGGCCACAGAUCCCGCCGUCCCGUGAAUUAAAGAUUCUCAGGGCCAGGCACGGUUGCUCACACCUGUAAUCCCAGCACUUUGGGAGGCUAAGGCGGGUGGAUUGCUUGAGGCCAGGAGUUCAAGACCAGCCUGGCCAACAUGGUGAAACCCCAUCUCUACUAAAAAUACAAAAAAUUAGCCAGGCGUGAUAGUGGCCGCCUAUAAUCCCAGCUACUCAGGAGGCUGAGGCACGAGAAUCACUUGAACCUGGGAAGCGGAGGUUGCAGUGAGCAGAGAUUGCACCACUGCACUCCAGCCUGGGCGACAGAGUCAGGUUCCAUCUCCAGAAAAAAAAAAAAAAAAAAA